rnacentral:lncRNA from 1 species
CAAGAACAGGCUGGAGGAGGGGUGCCCUUCAUCAUCUUGUGAGCAUCUGGGCCAAGUUCAGGGCUGGUGCUCUCGUUCAGAUAGAUUUAGCUGGUGGUGCAGAGAUCCGUGAGCUUGCUUUUACAGGACUUUAAUGAUAUAUAAAAGCAGCACGAGGUGCUCCUGACUGUGGAUUAAUUUGGAGAUGACUUUCUCUGUUGAAGAGUAGCAAGACUCUCGCGAGUUCUUAAAAAUGCACUUGUUUGGUAUGAGAAUGAAAAGCAGUGGCUGAAGAACCAAUCUUCAAUGGGCAAGCCUUCUCUGUGUCUGUUCUAACACGUGCCAUUUGGGAUCCCUUGGAAUCUUCAUGUACAGAACUGGUUGCUGCCUCGUUGAGUCGGUGGGGACAGAAUAGCUCCUGGUUGACAGCAUGGGUUGUGCAGAAGGACGGAUCCUGCAGACAUCAAUAUCUGGCUUUGAGUGGCACAAAGAAAUAAAGGAAUGUGGAUUCAGACCUCACUGGGAUGCUUGGCAAUUCUAAUUCUACCCCAGACUGCAAAUGGACACACAACUGUUGUGACUUUUGUUGAAGAGGAGAAGGAUGGUGAAGGUCUCUUUAGUCAAUAAUCUCUUUGCUGAAAUUGCUUCGGGCAGCACAGAAGCUGGAUUCAGAAGCACACAGGUCUGGGGAUGCAGGCUUCGGCCAGCCUGAUGCAAGGAAAGACUGCCAUCUCGUGGUCAGCUCAAUCCUGGCACCUUGGUGAGGGACCAGGCUGCAGAAAACCAGGCUUGGGGAGGAAACGGUGCUGCAAACUGGAUUUCUGCCGGACAGUGUGGAUGCCCUUAGAAAACACCCAGAAAAGAGCUGAGUGCCCCCCAAGACUUGCCCUGAAUUCUUUCAUGUGCAAUAUCCGAAAACCCUCUCUUGGGGCCUGGAUCAGGACCCCUUUCCUAUAACAUCUUUCUGGCGACAACAAAGGGACAAUGGUGUGGAAUCCCCCUUCCCAAAUGCUACUUUUAGAUAUCACCUUUUGUCGGAACUUGGAGUUGGUAAUGACCUUCACCAUACCACCACUCUGGGACUGAGCUUCUCUCUACCCUGAUGCAAGAGACCCUAAUAGGCAGGAAUAUGACCACCCCUAUUCAGCCUGAAGAAGUUACAGAAGUUCUGAAACCCUUAGAAAUGAGGGUCUUCUUGUAAAGGGAGUGGGGAGAUAUAUCAGAGGCAUUUGAACCAGAGCAACUCCAUCUUGAGUGAGGGCUAGGAAAAUGAGGCUAGGACUUGCUGGGCUGCAUUCUCAGAAAGUCAGUCAUUCCUAGCCUCUAGAUGUUUACGGUUAAGGGAACAAAUUUAUAACAUUUACUAAACACACCCAGACUUGGGAGUGUCCAGAUAUCCCAAUAUCUGGAGAACAAAGGCAUUCCUAAUUUUGCUUUAAAGACAAUAAUAUUGAUUCUUGCAAAAUAUAGUAAUUAAGAAAAUUAAUCCUUUAUCACAAACCCUUGUAGUAAAACACAUCUCCCCAUAUAUACAAGCAUUGUACCUAAGGUGGAUGCGUUCCAUCUCUUACUUUCAGGAAUGUCCUACACUAUCUAAGGAGUAGCUGUACUUUCACCACUUUACUUUCUUAAUAAACUUGUUUUUACUUUGCACCAAGGACUUGCACUGAAUUCUUUCUUGCGUGAGAUCCAAAAACCCUCUGUUCGGGUCUGGAUUGGGACCCCUUUCCUAUAACAUCCUUCUGGCAACCACAGAAGGGACUAUAGUGUGGAAACUCCCUUCCUAAAUGCUGCUUUUGGGUAAGUGUUGGAGUCCUGUAACAUAUUUCUGGCUGUCACAGAACAGAUUAUAGUGCAGAAACCCUGACCCAAAGGCUACCUUUGAGUAAGUGCUGGGGUCCUGUAAUAAUAUCAAAACCAGGAAAGGACAUAACCAAAAAAGAAAACUACAUUCCAAUAUUCCUGAUGAACAUAGAUGCAAAAAUCCUUAACAAAAUGCUAGCUAACCGAAUCCAACAACAUAUCAAAAAGAUAAUCCAUCAUGAUCAAGUGGGUUUCAUACCAGGGAUGCAGGGAUGGUUUAACAUACAUAAAUCAAUAAAUGUGAUACACCACAUAAACAGAAUUAAAAACAAAAAUCACACGAUCAUCUCAAUAGAUGCAGAAAAGGCAUUCAACAAAACCCAGUAACAUUUAUGAUUAAAACUCUCAGCAAAAUCAGCAUACAAGGGACAUAUAUCAGUAUAAUAAAAGCCAUCUAUGACAAACCCACACCCAACAUAAUACUGAAUAGGGAAAAGUUGAAAGCAUUCCCUCUGAGAACUGGAACAAAAUAAGAAUGCCCACUCUCACCCCUCUUCUUCAACAUAUUACUGGAAGUCCUAGCCAGAGCAAUCAGGCAAGAGGAAGAAAUAAGGGGCAUCCAAAUCAGUAAAAAGGAAGUCAAACUGUCACUGUUUGCCGAUGAUAUGAUUGCUUACCUAGAAAACCCUAAAGACUCCUCUAGAAAGCUCCUAG